CAGAGGAGAAACGUGUAAUCACCCAAACAACCAUUUUUACCCAUUUCACCCCCUCUGGAUCUGUGUCGCAAGCCUGCCGUCAGCUUUUCUGUCUUUCACUGCGGAUACCGUGGAGGGAGGCCGGACGGCGAAGAAGACACCAAGAGGAGGAAGAGGAUGCCCAGGAGGACAGGAAAUCGCAUGCAAAACACACAUUACUCCUGAAGUCCAAUUUGCACAGGCGGUAGUGAGUCACUGUAGCAUCCAGACUGCCCUCAGAUCAACGUGAGAGGACGAAGACGUAGAGUACAUCUCCCAGUUGGCGUCACAGGAAACACAAAGAUGGCUGAAGCUCUUGGUUAGGGACCUUUAUCCCCAUCACAACCGCCCACUCCAACACUGGCAUGGCUUUCCACCACUGGAGACAGCUCUUGGCGAGUAUAGAGGUUCGCUGCUGAACUUGAAAUGUUUCUUUUAGACUGGUAAGUAACAUCUGAUGUUGGCGAUUUAGCGAGAUGUAUCUUAAUGCAAUUAAUGACAACACACUGUA